UGGGAGCUGGUGGAGAGGCCUUGGCUGGUAAAACGAAAGUGACACGUGGGCGGGAGUGGAGAGAGCGAGGUGAGUGGAGUGGGGCGAGUGGGCGAGCCGGGUGAUUCACGAAGCGGGUUAAAUUUAGGUGAAGGCGUGUGAACGGCUGUCAAUUUCUGGAUUUCUUGCUUGAUCCCCCAUCCAUGGAAAGGUUUUCGCAACAUUGCGCGCG